GUUUACUGCAGCUGCACAUACACUGACGUGGAUGAGGCAGAGAAGAUUAGCACGGCUCCUGUACAAGGAUGGCAUGCAAACUCAUGGAGUACUCUAUAUUUUU